CCUACGGGAGGCAGCAGUGGGGGAUAUUGCACAAUGGGCGAAAGCCUGAUGCAGCGACGCCGCGUGAGGGAAGACGGUCUUCGGAUUGUAAACCUCUGUCUUUGGGGAAGAAAAUGACGGUACCCACAGAGGACGCUCCGGCUAACUACGUGCCAGCAGCCGCGGUAAUACGUAGGGAGCAAGCGUUGUCCGGAAUUACUGGGUGUAAAGGGAGCGUAGGCGGGAUGGCAAGUAGAAUGUUAAAUCCAUCGGCUCAACCGGUGGCUGCGUUCUAAACUGCCGUUCUUGAGGGCGGGAGGGGCAGGCGGAAUUCCUAGUGUAGCGGUGAAAUGCGUAGAUAUUAGGAGGAACACCGGCGGCGAAGGCGGCCUGCUGGACCGUAACUGACGUUGAGGCUCGAAAGCGUGGGGAGCAAACAGGAUUAGAUACCCCUGUAGUC
rnacentral:rRNA from 1 species